rnacentral:rRNA from 1 species
GAUGAACGCUGGCGGCGUGCCUAAUACAUGCAAGUCGAGCGAACAGACGAGGAGCUUGUUCCUCUGACGUUAGCGGCGGACGGGUGAGUAACACGUGGAUAACCUACCUAUAAGACUGGGAUAACUUCGGGAAACCGGUGCUAAUACCGGAUAAUAUAUUGAACCGCAUGGUUCAAUAGUGAAAGACGGUUUUGCUUCCCCCAAUAGUGGGACCCCGGCGGAAUAAGCUAGUUGGUAAGGUAACGGCUUACCAAGGCAACGAUGCGUAGCCGACCUGAGGGGGUGAUCGGCCACACUGGAACUGGGACACGGUCCAAACUCCUACGGGAGGCAGCAGUAGGGAAUCUUCGGCAAUGGGCGAAAGCCUGACGGAGCAACGCCGCGGGGGUGAUGAAGGUCUUCGGAUCGUAAAACUCUGUUAUUGGGGAAGAACAAAUGUGUAAGUAACUAUGCACGUCUUGACGGUACCUAAUCAGAAAGCCACGGCUAACUACGUG